GUUGAGCUUUCUUUUUGUUUAAUAAAAGAGAAACAAUAAAGAUAAAGCUGAGUAUGUGAGUCACUUGUCUCUUGCUACCAGAGGAGAUGAAGGUUGCAGCUUGUUCCUCUUCAUGCAGCUGAAAGAAAGACUGCUUUCCUACUAAGAUAUUUGCAGAUUAAGAGGCAAAAGGAUCAGUUUUUGGAAUACUCCACUGAUGUUGCAAACCCCCUUGUUAAUAGACAUGUCUUGCUUUGUUACCUCAUUUUAAUUAAUCAUAAAACAACGACAGCUGCCAAAUAUGGAGUCUGGACCCAGGCCUGCAACUGAGUUGAAACCCUUAAAAUAUACUAUUUAUGGUACUUGAGGUUUAAAGCUUCAAUUUCUUGUAUAAACCUUGCCUUUCCUAAGAAUUAUGCCAUGUGUGUAUAAGCAGAUUUAUCUUGACUUCCAGAGGUGCUCCAGCCCUCCUACAAGCAGAAUUCACAUUUGUAUAUGUUUUGAAAAAGCAAUGAGGUGGCUAUGUUGCUUUUUCAUACAAAUGGUCCUUUGCUGUCACACUGAGAAAAACAGGUUUCCUAAUAAUGUAUAUAAGGCAGGGCUUGCUUCUGACUGUAUAUGCCCCACAUAGCUGUAUUGGCCUUUUCUUACACUUUUCUUAUUUAUAGAGCUGGUGUGGCAAAAGGCCAUAGGAAAAGCAGAUUCCUCAUGAGACCAUGUCCUCCACCAUAAUGUCCAUCUGUCCAUUUAAUAGCUGGUGCAGCAUAGAUAUAUAGAGGCAUUUCUUCUACACAUGCACGCAUGCACACAAAUGCUUAUACCAAGAACAAACUUAGUUGGUCUCUAAGGUGCUACUGGACAAUGUUUUUAUUUUUAUUUCGACUGCAUCAGACCAACACGGCUACCUACCUGAAUGGAUAACUACAGUUAGCAAAGAUGAUUGUGCAAAUAUAAAGCUAACCAGUUAGCUCAGAAAAAGGGAGUGGGACUCCUCACAUGAAAGGAGAGGAGGAAUGGAGGGUUGAUGAGAAUGGUACACUCCCAUUUGGCUACACUAUGUUUGCAAGUGGACUAUGUUUCAGGAAUAGGUCUUGUUGCUGAUCGUAGGCCAGAAGAAGGCUGAACAAUUGCUGCAGGAAGGCAAGGCAAGCAUGUAUUAAUGUGUACAGCCAGGGCUUUUAUUUCAGCUGGAACUCGCCAGAACUCAGUUCUAGCUCCUCUCAGGUGGGCACCAUUGCCAUUAUAAGAGAACAAGGUGGGCAUUCAUAGUGAGCACCAGCACCUCUUUUUCUAGAAAAAAAGCACUUUGUACAGACUGUGUGUAGCAGGCUGAGGCCACAUGCAAAUUUUAAAAUAUCAGAUAAUCACAAAUAUUUGCUACAGUCUAGGAUUUCUCAAACUCUCUAGCUGCAGAGCCCUCUUGAGAGGGAUGAAGCUUAUUGAGACCUACCUCUUACAAAAUGGCAGCAUCUCGAGGUUUGCCACAGAAAUUAUUUGCCACAGAAAUCUCCUUGUGGCCACACAUUCUGUAGUUCAAGUUUCUUUAAGUUCCCAACUUUAAGCAUAUUUUGCUAAUCCAGAGGUGUGGGGUGUUUUUUUAAUUGCAUUACACACACCUCAAAGUGUGUGUGGGUGUGUGGGUGUAUAUAUAUAUGGUCAUUUCUUCUUCCUUUCUUUUUUCAUAUUUAGUUUGUAUCCUAUUCCUCCCUCUUCUUUAACUUUUACUUUUUAAUUCCUUUCCCGUCCCCUGUAUAUUCAUUUUACCCCACUUCAGCAGCUUCCUUCUCAAUUCUAGUUUGCUGUUGUUUAAAUAUUCACAUUUAACUUAUUUCCUUCAAAUGUCAGUUCUUUCUCCUCAGGGAAGUCCCACCUUAGAACAUCUUCUAAGCUCCACUUCUGUUCUUCCAUCCCUAUAUGGACCGUGAAAACACACACACACACACACACACACACACACACACACACUUCAGUUCUACAGAUGAGGCUUCUACUUGUGACAGGAGGAGGUUUGAGGUGUGUGUGAGAGAGAAAGAGCACCUGGAUGUGUGAAGCAGAGGAGUCAGAAGAUGCUGCAACACCAGGAAGGAAGCAAAAAAGAAAGGCCUGGCCCCACCUAACUUUAGACUAAUGACAGUGCCACCUAGGGAUUAAUAAAUCAUAGCACAGUAUUUUCCUCACAGGGCCAUUUCGUGUUAUGGGCCUAAACAAAGAAUCUCUCUCUCACACACCCACAAACACCCACCCACAUGCUUCCAGCCUUUGAAUGGGAGCAGAAGUGCCUGGGCCUCUUUGAUUCAUCACAGAUUACAUACUGAAUCCGCCUCCUACAUUUCCCUGAGGCUCUUCUGAAAACUCUCAUCUAUUGAUCCUGAAGUACCUCACUAGGCCCAGGGCUUUUUUUGAGCAGGAACUCAGUUCCGGCGCCUCUCAGGUGGCUCCAUUGCCAUUAUAAGAGAACGAGGGAGGCGUUCAUGGUGAGUUCUGGCACCUCUUUUUCUAGAAACAUAACACUAAAGAGACACUUUCAAGAAUAUUUCAGCUAAAAGACAGUUUUGCAAACUAAGGAUCCUUAGUUGUUCGCUGGGGCAGCUGGAUUCUCUGACGAAAUCAGUUGUGACUUUUUUUGACAGUUAUGCAGCUGAGACACUGACAGUCACAGGAGCCCUGAGGGAGGAAAAAGUUCGCAACUCAAGUAGACAGGAGGGAGCCAAACAAGGUUUCCUUUCUGUGUCUCUAGCUGACCAUGCCCCAGUUUCCUCAUAGCCUCUUUUCCCUGAGGCUUUUCACUCCUAACAAACUUCCACUAACAACUGUCUCUUUCGCCUCAGCCACCAUGUCCUUUUGUGACAUCACAGGCCGUUCUCAGCCGAUGGGAACAGCUAGGGGAAACAUCAGCAUAACUUCCCCAGACUUGACAAUUGUGGGGCACCUUAACAUCAAUUUAUUCAUUUACUGUAUUACUUACUUCUCACCCAGGCAACACUUCAUGAGUACUGAUACCAGGCAAGGGAGCAUAACAUAAUGUUCAGGUGUUUGAUCUUCCAUUAUCUGUCUUUGAAAAAAAAGAUAGCAUGCACACUACAGCUAGAUGCAUUUAGAAAGCCAUUUUGUUUAGAAAUAUAAGCAGACUUGCUUAAGUGCGGCAGUUCUCUUCAUGGCUUUCACAACUGUUCUUGAAAAAACCUAACCAAUGUCAGACAUCCUUCAAGGGGGAAAAAACCCAAGACAAGGAGAGGGAUGGCUACCACCCAACAGCACCCCCAGGCACCACCACUGGUUCAGCCUGCCAACUUCCGUUGGUUUAAUCUAUUCAUGAAUACCCACCAGUUUCCUUUCACAUAUCACAUUGAUGUACAUGCACAUAUUUGCCUCAACCAUUCACCUUCCAAACCUCUCAUUGUCACACACAAACAUUCACCAGCCAGCAUCCAUGAAGAUUGCCAACAGACACAUUCACUCACCAUUCAUUCACAUUUGUGCCUGGCUUCAACCCACAAAUAUCCACCAACUUCUGAAGGUGAAUUUCAACCAGCUUACAUCCGCAAAUAUCCAUCUGCUUCAGACUUGCAGCAUCCACCAGCUUCUGAAAAUGAGCUCCAGUAGCUUUCGCCCAAGAACAUCUGCCAUCUUCUGCUAAGUCCAUCACUAGACAUUGGCUAACUUCCGACCUUGGAUAUCAUCCACCUUGAAGCACGAUCCCGCUCAGCAAGUGAACUUGCCUGACUGUCACACCAUAGCACCCUGCAGCUAGAUGAUCGCCCCCACCUACUAAUUCACCUCCUCCAGGAGGAAGAAGACAAGGUAAUGCUGACUGUUACAGCUGAGGUUGCCAUGCGCUUUGUUGACAUCACAGGUAGUCCAUAGCCAAUGGCAGCAGCUGGGAAGGCGCCAUCAUAAACACAGGCCUCACAGUUGUGGCUGCAAUGAUUUCUUUGUGUGUAUUAUUAUUUAAAUGGUUUGUAGGCCACCCUUCAUCUGUACUGAUGGGGGCCUAACUGGCGAAAUGAAAGGGAAAGGAGAAAAAGAACAAGAGAUGGGGAGCUGCUUCCCAGCUUGCUAUGCAUCUCUUUUACAAAUUUUUAAUGCAAAUAAGUUAUUGCAGAACUUCUCUGGAAAGUUCACAAAUUUGACUAAACGUGUGUGUAUACAUCCCCCUCUUUUUAAAAAGUCAGCAUACCAUUCAGAUAACUGUUGUGUGAAAGCCGCCCACUUGACUUUCCCAGACCAUUGCAAACCAUUUGAAAAUCUGUGGUUACAAUGGCAUAUUACAAUGUGAUAUUGGCACAUCUUAUAACGGGUGACUCUUGAAACCAGCUUAGUUCAUGGCAGUGCAACUGAAUCAGUACAGGCUGAUAAUAAUAAUAAAAAACAACCCAGGCAGUAUUUACAGGCUCAGUCAUUUGGCUCCUGAGCAUGUGACUUUUGCAAACUCAAAAGAAACUUCAAUAUCUACAGGGGUGGGCUCCAUUUCAACAAUUGUUGGAAGAUUUAUUCCUUUUGCAUAAAUUGUAGAGUUGUUUGUUGCAGCUUGAAGAGUUUUCUUUUUUGCCAGCCUCAGCCUAUUACCUGCACCCCUUUUACGCUUGGAAAUGUUCCUCAUGCUGAGAAGGUAAUGGGUGGAGCUGUGGUUAAAUGCAAGGAGUCAACCUCUUCUCCAACAGCUGGUUUCUUUACAUGACAAGCUGGCAUGCUGUUCAAUGAGUGCUUAUCUGUCUCUCAUUGGCGGAGUCUUUUGCCAGGCUAUCCAAUUGCAACCCUUCUUUUCUUCCUUCUUUCUCAGAAGUGGUGCUGCUCCUUGUGCUGUGCAAAGAGGAGAUAUGUGCAUACUGUACAUAAAUCCUGGAGGUAACAAAGACAGAUCAAUGAGCUUAGGAAACCUUAUACAUGUAUACAGGCAGCACUUUGCUCUGUUUCAGCCACUUCUAUGCCUUAACAUAUAGGGUGCUCUUUUCCUUAGAAAACUUUGGGACCAACCUAGCAAGAACUGUUUAUUAAAAAGGCACAUAAAACGAUUGUCUGGUUAAUUGCAGGCAGAUAGAUCAAAGAAAGCUCUACGAAUUUCAAGAUUCUGGAACUGGUUCUGCAGCUGGCACUUUCUUUAAUAGGAGUUAGUAAUGUGUAUUAUUCCAAAACGAACAUUAUUCUCAACUGGCUGAAGUGCUGAGGGAACAAAAAGGGCAGGAAGGGAACGGAACACAGUAAGUUAGCCCAGUAGACACUGACUCUGCAAGGGCUUGAUGCUAGUUUGCUUCACACAACAUUAACUCAGAAAGAGUUCAGGCAAUUGCCAGCUAGUCAUUUUGUCUUAGAAUAGUCAGAAUCUUGCUGGUGCAACACUGAAAGUUUAUUCUGCCUUGGUACAAACUUACAUGUGGUAACUUAAACACAUUUUUUAUUCUUCUCAAAGUUUAAUUUUAAAACACAGCUGCACUUGAACCUAUGAAGAACACCAAAGUAUUAAUUCUUAUUAUACUGUGCCAGGUUCUUAUUGGUUGCUUGCCUAGUUUUCCAAGUCUUGAGAUAAGUUGACUCUUUGCCUGUUCUUAACUAUUAACUGUCCUCCAAGCAUCCAUCUGACCUUGCUUUUGGCCUACACAUCAGAGCAUUUUGCUGUUUCUUUGUAGCAAACUGAACUUCUCAGAUCCACUUAGGGUUACUGGUGUUCAAGGAUGCAACGAAAUUUAGCAGAACUGGAAAAAAUGCAUUUGUACAUGUUUUCCAAAAUUAUAGAUGCCCCCUCUGAGCAAAUGAAAGCUGUUUACUAGCUUUAUUAUGGAAAUAUUCUGUUUUUCAGUACCCUAUUUCAGCUUUGCAUAGCUUGGCUGAUUGCUGAGAGAGUAGGUACAUUUGAAAUGUGCCUCUCUGGGUCUUCUUUAAUUAACAGCUGUCAGAGAAGGGGUCCCUUUUCAUUUGUCUCACUCUUGCUUUGAACAGUGUGAUUCUAGAGUUGCUCUCCCCCCCCCCCAGUGUAAUUCAAGAAAUUCAGCAGGUUCUGCAUUUUGUCACUAGCAAAGAGAGCAGGGGAGGCUCCCACAGUAUCUUCCACAAACUUGGGCAGGAAUUCCAGACGGAUGUUUGCUCCAAUUUUUAAGUAGUACUCCAAACUCUGAGCUACAUUUCCAAAUAUUUCUGUUCCUUCAAUAUUCCCUUUGUGCUCUCAACUUAUGUGUAUCAUGGAGUUGCAUUUGCUUCCAUAGCAGCUGUCUUGAUUUACACAUUUAUAAUUAAGUUUUCUGCCUGGAACUCUUUCACAGUACUACCUUUGGGGGCUUUGCUUGCUGAUAAAAUGUUUUCUAAGUGCUAGAUAAGCAGGGACAGUUCCUGGUCCCUAAUUGUGAGCACACCUUUAGAUGAACGAAAUGAAAUCAAACUUUUCCAGUUUGUUGGAUCAAAUCUACCAAAAUCAUACCAAAUUAUUUGCUCAGUAAUUUAUGGUAAAGUGAUAUGGCCAGUAAAGACCAUCCAAAUUUUCCCAGCUGAAUGACUUAGGUCACUGUCUACAAGUGGGCAUGGUUAAAAGGACAAUCUUGCAUGAAACUAAAUUAAAUUUGAAGCCAUGCAGCUAAAUCUCACAAUCACGAGGCUACUAAGGGCACUUUCAGACUACAGUGGUACCUCUGGUUAAGUACUUAAUUCAUUCCAGAAGUCUGUUCUUAACCUGAAGCACCACUUUAGCUAAUGGGGCCUCCUGCUGCCGCCGGGCCGCCGGAGCACGAUUUCUGUUCUCAUCCUGAAGCAAAGUUGUUAACCUGAAGCGCUAUUUCUGGGUUAGCGGAGUCUGUAACCUGAAGCGUAUGUAACCGAAGGUACCACUGUGUUCAGACAUUUUGCAAUAUGGAUAGUGUUGGGAAAAUGUGCUGCAAAGUGUGAAUUUAUUAAUUACAUUUUUAUACUGCCAUUCAUCUGAGGAUAACAGGGCAGUUUGCAAUAUAAAAACACAAAAAUACAUACCAUAGUAACAAACAGAAACAAUAUUCACCCCACAGUUUAAGAAGCCAUAGAUUGAUUAAUUAGCCAAAGGCCUGGGAGAAGAUGAAUGUUUUUGCCUGGUGCCUAAAGAUAUAUAACGAAGGCACCAGGCAAGCCUCUAUGGGGAGAGCAUUCUACAAGUGGGGAGCCACCGCAGAACAGGCCUAUUUUCAGAGGCAGCCCCAUGUAUAACACGUUGUAGUAAUCUAACCUAGAGGUUACCAGAACAUAAAUGACUGGUGUUAGGCUAUCCCUGCCCAGUUGGGGGUGCAGCUGAACCACCAACCAAAGUUGAUGGAAAGCAUUCUGCGACACUGAAGCCACCUGAGCCUUAAGCGACAGCAGUGGAUCCAGAAGUACCCUCCAGCUAUGUACCUUCUCCUUCAGAGGAAACUUUCCACCCAUCUAGUUAGGAAACCGACCACUGACAGUGUCUCAGUCUUAUCUGUACUGCGCUUCAGUAUAUUGGCUCUUAUCCAGGCCAUUACUGAGGCAAGACAAUGGGUCCAGCAUAUCCACUGUCACAUCCGCAGAUGUAAAGAAGUAGAGCUGUGUGUCACCAGCAUACUGCUGACAAUGUAAUCCAGUACUCUGGAUGACCCCACUCAGCAGUUUCAUGUACAUGUUAAAAUGUAUGGGAGAUAAAAUUGAACCCUGAGGAUUUCCACAUUGAAGGCUCCAUGGGGCUGAACAGCAGUCCCCAAGCACCACCCUUUGGAAACGACCAUCCAAAUAGGAUGCUAUGCAACCCUAACUCAGAUAGUCGCUCCGAAAGGAUACCAUCAUUGAUGGUAUCGAAAGCCACUGAGAGGUUGAGACUGAAUAGGGACACAUUUCCCUCUCCCGAUAUAUGUCAUAGGGUGACCAAAGCAGUUUCUGUGCCAACUGGCCUAAACCCUGAUUGAAAUGGAUAUAGAAAAUCAGUUUUUUCCAAGAGCCCCUGGAUCUGGUCCACGACUACCUGCUCAAGAACUGUGCCCAAGAAGGGGAGAUUGGCAACUGGCUGGUAAUUAAUUAGAUUUUCCAAAUCCAAGGACGGUUUAUUGAGCAGUGGUUUUAUCACUGCCUCCUUCAAGCAGGCAGGGGCCACCCCCUCUUAUAAGGAGACAUUGACCGCCUUUUUAGCCCAGCCCACUGUCUCCUCCCUACUAGUUUUUAUCAGCCAAGAGGGACAAGGGUCCAGAGUGCAAGUGGUCACCCUGACCGAUUUAAGCACCUUGUCCACAUUCUUGUACUUAACUGACAUUCAUCCAACACAACAUGAUUAGACAGCACUCUUGUCACUUCUUGAGGUUCAUCUGCUGUAACAGUGGAGUCAAGGUCAUGGUGGAUACAAGCAAUCUUAUCCUCAAAAUGCUUUGCAAACAAGUCACAGUGAGCUACUGUCAGUUCUGCCACCUUCUAUGGACCAGACUGUAAAAAACCCUGCACUACCUGGAAAAGCUCUGCCAGAUGGCACAGUGAGGAUGCAAUGUCUGCCUUCUUUGCUGCCUUCACUGCCAUUAGGUAGGCUUGAUGAUGAGCCCUCAUGAGUGUUUGGUUGCAUUCAACUGGAGUUUUCCUCCACUCGCAUUCAAGUCAUGUCUCAGCUUGUUUCCUUGCCCUAAGCUCUGGAGUAUACCAGGGAGCCAAAUGGGCUUCACAAAGCAGGAGAGGGCACUCAGGAUGAUGGUGUCAACAGCCCUACCAUUUGGAUGUUCCGGAGGUUGACCAGGGCUUCGACAGGAGCACCGGUCAUAGCAGCUGGAAAAUCCCACAGAGCCAUCUGGAAACCCAUUGGGUCCAUCAGCCACCAGGGGCUGAUCAGCCUAAGAGAUUUCCAUGCAUGCAUGUGCCUUGCUGUAGAGCAGUGGUGAAAUUUUUACUCCAUGAUGAUUCCAUUGACACCAUUCAGUACGUCCUGGUAGUUCCUCAGGAAUCCACAGGGUGGAACUGAGUUUUAGGAGGCAAAUACUGUGUUCCCUACAUUAGGGUGGGUGACCUUGUAGGUUUCAGUGCCCAUUGGCUCUUACCCUUUGCUUCACUCCACUCACCUCACAGAGUGUUUGUUGUGGGGGAGGAAGGGAAAGGAGAAUGUUAGCCGCUUUGAGACUCCUUCGGGUAUUGAUAAAGCGGGAUAUCAAAUCCAAACUCCUCCUCGUCGUCGUCGUCGUCUUCUUCUUCUUCUUCUUCACUGGCCUCAUAGCUCACUACUAGUUUAACAGAGUCAAUUUCUAUUUCCAAGUUAUUCAGCUAUCCCUUAGGUGUGUGCAGUGCUAGGUUUAGGGUGGAGCGGGUGGUGAGAAUAUCCAUUUGAGGUAGCCAAAUUUUGGGUUCACCCAGGGCGCCAUAUUAUGAAAGACUGCCAAAGUCUGCCCCUGGGUGUGCAACAUAUUGCCUGCUCCUCUCCCCCCUUUUUAUUGAGCAGCACCCAGUCUACAAUAUGUCUGUGUAUCACAUCUCACUCUGCCAUCUCUUCUGGUGUGCUGCCUUAGCUGUUUUAGUACACAUGUGGCAUGAUCCUAGGCAUUUUUAUCCAGAAGGAAGACCAAUUUAGUUCAGUGGGGCUGACACACAAGUAAGUGUGCUUACCGUAGCUUUGCAGCCUUAGCGACAGGGUUAGUCCUGUGGCUCAUGAACAUCCUGCAUGCAGGGAGGGUCAUCUGCCAACAUCAAGCAGAGAGUUAAAAGUAUUCUGGAAAGGCCCAGAGCACUUUUGCUGUGGCUUUUGCUGUUAUCUGAGCCCUGGGAAAGGAGACUCCUCCUCUUUCUCUUCCUUAACUCUUCCAGAGGCAAGCAAGCUGCUGUUUGGUGAUUUGUCCGGAGUGCUGCUAUAGGCUUUCUGCACAAGCAUGGCAGAAAAGCCUUCCCCAGCCCUCUUUUGUGCUUAGGAACAGACUUUUCCCCUGUGCAUGAAGGACUGUGGAGGAGAUGCUAAUUCAGACUCCAUAGUCUUGUUGCAUGUAGCAUGUGUGCUGUUCCCUGUGUGCAAUAAACAGACUGAACCUUCCUAUUUACUUGGUGACAUAGCCAAGGGAGGGAAAAGCAGAUCUGCUAGCCCCACUGUCAUCUCCUGCCACAGGUAAGGAGUGUGUGUGAAGAAGACAUCCUGGCAUUCAUUUUGCCUUCUUUCUGAUUUGGAUUGGAAGAAGUUAAGUUGUUCUCGGAAAAAGCAGCUCCCAGGGUUUGUCUUAUUUCAUCUGCACCAGCUCCUUUCACUCUGUUUCAAACCACUUCUUCCUGUGCUUCUAUUUAAAAGCAAGCACCACUGUUCUUUACUAAAUGUGGGUAUACUCCUUGGAGAAACCAAGAAGUCACAGCUCCAAAAGAUCUGCCGAAAAACUGUUGUUCAGCUGAAAAUCCUCCCAGGUAAUUUAUGCUUCCUUGUAGUUUGCUUUACUGUGCCACUCAUUGUUUUCUCUCCCACGUUGUAAUGCAAUCGUAGACUCACAUCAUGCUUGGAUCCUGUAGUUCUUCUGUAUCAAUGAGAGCAGGAAAUUCAUAUGAGGUGUAUUGUUGCUUCCCCCCUCCUGCAAAAGUCUCAUGAGUUGAUCUUUCAGGUACAUUGAACACAUCUGAACAAAUACAUUAUAUACUCAGUUAUAGAACAUGCAUUAGCUAUAUAUGGGGACAUGAUUAUGUGAACACAGAUUAUACAUGUACACAGUGUAUAGAUGUAUAUAUAUAUAUAUGCAUACAUAUUAGCAUUCAAUAUGUACACAUACUGAAUAUAACAGACACAAAGUAAGAUCUACAUGGGCUGUUUGUUAGAUGUAUGAAGAGCACACUCAUGUAGUGCAUGGAAUGCACACCCACCAUUGUACAUAAUAGUAUGUGCACAUAACAGAAGAAAACAUGCAUGGGUAUGCAUAGUUUAAGUUACACACACACACGAUUCGGGCUUGACCACAUAUAUAUGGGAAAUAAUUAAAUGCCAGUAAUGGCAGGAGAGAGCUGGGGGAGUCCUUGCUGGCAAGGAGCUGGCAAGGAGACCCUCCCUGGAGUACAAAGAGGACGUCAGUGAGGACGGAAGAAGUGCCAAAGAGACGAAAGGUGCAGCAGGGCCUCCAGCCUCCUGCCAUUCACAAAGCUUCAAUUCUAGCUGUGGAUAUUAUUGGAUAUAGUAUUUGGGGUAUGGAUUGAAGAGAGCUGCAGAGAGGGGAUUAAAAGGGCAUCAAUUUCAGUUACAUGUGCGGGGCCCAGGAAUAUAACCCCUGCAUAAGUGGGGGGGACGCCUAUACACACACAGACACACACAGAGUAUGUAGAUACAUACAGUACAUAAAUAACUACUAAAAUAUAGGAUAUGCUGACACUUUCUGAGGGCAUAGAACACAAAAUAUGGAAGGAUUUUUGUGAACCUGAUAUUAAAAUAUACACCUCAAACUUUCCAGUGAUGCCUUGGGAUGUUUUUAAUCAGUGAAUUUUGAUUUUUUCACAUUUGUAAAUGGCAUUAAAGUUUACUAUAUAGUUUGGGAAGUAGUUUGUCUGCUUUUUUGUUUGUUCUCUAAGCAUUUGGACAUCUCUUGCGCUAUCAUUGUCAAACUUGGCACAAGAGUUUCCGAGGUGCAAGUGGUGCUCUUCGUCAAUAUAUGUAGAAGUCUCACCUUAGGCACCAUGCAUGAUCAACAUUGCUGAACGGCUAUCAUACCUCUUUGAUUUAUCAUGUUCUAAAUUCAAGCAAUGGAUUUCAUCUUCCAUUGCUUGACUUUUGCCAUCAUGGCUAUCAGCAUAUGCCCUAGCAAACCCCAUUUGUGACUCACAGAAGGAAUAAGCUGCUCCUUAUACAACUCCCAAAUCCACAGGGCUUGAGGGAAUCAUGUUGUUUUGUUAUCAUCUCAAUUCAUGUUUUGCCAAAGGCUUGUCAGAAUAACCUUUUGCUAUCCCUGGCUAAGAAGAAGCAUAUACAGAGAUGAGGAUGCUGUUAGCAGCUUGGAGAAGGAGGGUGGGCUAGUGGUGCAGGGUUAAGACUUUUGAAAGCACCGCUUCAGCAUUAACUAAAUAUUUAUAUUUCGCAAACAGUUCAGUUGUGCACAUAAGGAAAUUUCAGGAUGUGGAGAGGUGCCCCUGAGAUCAGGGUCCAGCAUUCAGUGUGUCUGUUAGCUUCAUAGUCCACUCCUGCUUUCUUUCAGGGGGGCUUUUAUGGUGAUGACAAGUGUUCAUACUCUUCCCUACUUAAAGGAAAACUUACCUUUAAAUCAUUAAGCUCUCUGCUUUCCUUUCCUACAGCUAUGGGGAAGGGCCAUGUCCCAAAGGGCAAAGCACGCAGAAAACAUCUGUAGUAGUAGUAGAUAAAGGUAAAGGGACCCCUGACCAUUAGGUCCAGUCGUGGGUGACUCUGGGGUUGCGGUGCUCAUCUUGCUUUAUUGGCCGAGGGAGCCGGCGUACAGCUUCCGGGUCAUGUGGCCAGCAUGACUAAGCCGCUUCUGGCGAACCAGAGCAGCACAUGGAAACGCCGUUUACCUUCCCGCCAGAGCGGUACCUAUUUAUCUACUUGCACUUUCACGUGCUUUCGAACUGCUAGGUUGGCAGGAGCUGGGACCGAGCAAUGGGAGCUCACCCCGUCGUGGGGAUUCGAACCGCCGACCUUCUGAUCGGCAAGCCCUAGGCUCUGUGGUUUAACCCACAGCGCCACCCACAGUAGUAGAUGACUGUAAUUAAGCAGCAUAUAAAUUGUCAAAAUAAAUUUUAAAAGAUCCCAGGUUAAACCAUUGGCAUCUCCAUGUGGGGCUGGGAGAGACCCCUGUUUAAAACUGGUAGAGCUGCUAUCAGUGAAUAUAGACAAUACUAAGCUAGAUGGACCAGCAGUCUGAUUCAGCUUAAGGCCAUCUCGUUGCUUCUGUAUAAGCAUAUGUAAGGAUAACUUUUGACCCUGACAAUCUGGAAUGAGCUGCAUCCUCAGUUUGUCUUCUCAUGAAUGGAGUGCUCAUGGAAAUUUUUCAAGCCUGUUUUUUUUCAUCCUUAGCAUGCUUCAACCUGCUUGAAUUAUCCUUUUGUUUGCUUUUAGUUCUCGUGAUGUUUUUUUGAAUGGUGUCCCACAGUUUGAAGUGACCUCUGGAUUAAUUAAGGUGGUCAUAAUUACCAGGGGCCUCUUUUUUAAAAUAUUUAUUUAUUUACCAGGCUCUUUAUUAAUUUCAACCAGUUUCAUAGCUGAUCAAUUGUCAUGGCACUAAGGAACCAUGGAAAUACUAAAUGGACCAAUGCUAUAAAGCAGCUUCCCGUGUUCUUAUUUACCGUAAUUGAAUAUUACUGUGGGCUGAGUCGACAGCUGUAGUGCUUCACCUACCUUUCAACCUAUUCAUUUUUUUUGCUGGCUAAAUUGAAACAAGUCUGUAUCUUAUCUAAACUUUGAUAUAUGUGCCUUUUUGAUGUACGGAAGGAAGUGUGUGAAUUUACAACUGAAUAAACAAUAACUGCUACUCAUUGUUAGAAAGAAAGUCCAUCUUCAGUUCUGUAUCUCUCAUUCCUUCUUUCAACAGGGAACUAACUACCUGCCCAUUAAGAUAUUUGGGUGAAGCUCUCCUUCAUGUCCUGCCAUCAUCUGGGAUUACACUGGUGAGUAUACUGAAGAGGGUGAUCUCUUUCUUUUGGGAGUGGUGUUUGGUCCCUUCUCUUUUUAAUGUUUGAUAGCUUGUAAAGAUGGCCUUGUAUUUGGCUUUUGGCAGGCCUUUCAUGGUGCUUAAUUUCUCCCUCCUGGAUUAGUUCAUGCUGGCUGGCUCCUGUUACAGUGAUCAUUCUACAUUAUGAUUAUUAUUGUUUAUUGAUGUUUUAUUGUUGUGAUUAUUAUUAUAGCUCUGUUUUGUUUUCAAUUGCUUGUGAGCUGCUUUGGAGGUUUUCAGCCUGAAAGGUGACACAGAAAUAUUGGUAUAAAAAAUAAAAUAAAAUAACACCACAAAAUAAAAUCAGCCUUGCAAAAUAAAUGUAAUUUUAAAACUUGAAUCCCACCCACGAUUAAUCAGCUAAAGUUUUAGUUGAUUAAAUCAAUUAAAGUCUUCUGACAUAAAUUUAAAAUAUUUUAGUCACUAUAGCUGUGUGAAUGAAAGGGUGGUUAGCAUAUCUGAAGGUUUACUAAUCUUCAAUAAGAGAUUGUUGGAAUUUGCCUUAAACUGUAAUUUUCUUCUUUGUCCUCUUGUGAGAGAUCAUUUGUUUCCAGCUCAUCUUGCAACAUAGUUGGUGGAUAGUAUUUAUAUCAUCUCAGGCCUGGCUGCAUGCAAAGAUCUAUCAAAAUCAGAUGUUUUCCUCCCCAGGGUUAAAUCAAAUUUCCAUCAGUCUAAUCCUAGACAGACAUUGAGAACAGCUGGCAUUUGCCAGUCUACAUGAGUGCAGCUACUGGCCUGGCCCAAGUGUUAUUGUAUAUAAACCUGUGUUGGUAGGUUUCUGAAGCUUACAGUGUUUGUGAGCUAACUAUAGGUGGAAAGUUCUUGCCCUCCAGGGUUUACUGGGCAUGUCUUAUCCAAAGAGGGAUUUGACAGAAUGCUAAGAGACUAAAUAUCUUAGUUAUGGCUUUGUUCUCCAGUUAACAAUGAGUAGCUAAAAAUAUCUGACUUCAUUUUACUUUCUGAAGGGGAGAUGCUAAACUUAGUUUUUGAUUUGCCAGAUCCAUGAAUACACAGCCAAAUAAUUUCACAUUUUUGCCAACAACAUUUCAUAAAACAUGUAAUGAGGAUAAAACAUACUGUUCUGGACGUCGGGAUCUUGCUGUGCUAUGAUGCCAGAGCAUUCCCUCAUCACAUACAAAGCUGCCUACUGCCACUAGGCCUCACUGUGCAUAGACAGAGAGACAAGCAAAUAGACACACACACACACACCAUUUAUGCAGCUCCCCAUGUUAUAGCUGUCAGAUGAUCCCAUUUGGACAUUGCCUCAUGUAUCAAACUAGAUGGAUUUGUCCAACAAUUCCUCCCUAUAAACCCAUAAACUAUGGCUGAUCAGAAGCAUCAAUGCAAUCUUCUGCAUGAAUCUCAUGCAGUCUACUUUUUCUCUCUUCUAAUAUCAGAUGACUGAUUCAUUGGUUUACUCCCCUCAUUUGUAACUACACGUUCCUGAUCCCAAUCCAGCUUCUAUCCAGCCAUCUUUUUAAGCCAUACAGUUUACUCUGUUAAAUAGUCUUAUCAGAAAUCUCCUAGAGGUCAGAAGAUAAAAGGUUCUUGUAUGCCUUGGAAAAGCAAUUUGUGCCAUUUAAGUGCAAUAUAUGCAUUUUAUUAACUGGGAACUAUAUGUCAAGCACUUCACAAGCAAGUGCUCUCCAGACUGGCAAACAGGUCAAUAUUGUGGCUUCCAGUGUUAGAAGCGGUACCAGAUGGCAUGGUGGGGCAUGGAUGUUAACCUGACCUCCCAGGUGUUGGAAUCAGAAGAGUUGACAGGGUUUAGGGAACAGAAAGACACUGCAGCAGAGGACAGUUCAGACUCCAAGGCAGAAGCAAGGGCUGGAGAGGGGCAGAGCCAGAAGCAAAGAGGCAGACAGUUGAAGAAGCCAGGGAGUCUUCCCCUUCUGCUGUGACCAGCUUCUCCCUGCUCUCGGUCUUGUAAAACUUGCUGAGAAAAGAAAUGGGCAGCGCAGAGGGUGGUUGUGUGCAAAGGCGUAGCUAGCUGCUCUGGCACCUGGAGCGGUGGGGGCGGGGUGGCGAUCCACCUAGGGGGCGCCAUGGCGAGCUGCCCACAGAGUCCGCCUGGUGGGCACAAGCCCCACACUGCCGUUUCGGGCAGUGCGGGGCCCCGAGCCACCGUGUCACUCCCAGGAGAGACGCAUGGCUUGGGCACGCUGCAGGCCCCUCUCCGCGGUAAGUGCCGCCCCCGCGGUGUGCCAUUUUGUCACCCCCUCAGGGAUGACACCCAGGGCGGACCGCACCCCCUGCACCCCCUUCCUACGUCCCUGGUUGUGUGCAGACACAGCCUGCGACUUUGUGGGAAAGAUCCUGGAGAGGAGGAGUCCUCGUGGGCACUCGCCCAUUGCUUCAUUGGGGCAAGACCUCCUUGAAAGAAUUACUGAGACCACUAGGCCGGAGCUGUGGAUUGUUUCUUUGAAUAAAGAGUUAACUGCACUGGCCUCAGGUGUUGCUAGCCUAUGACUGACUCCGGCCCUGACAUAGAUAACUUUUAAAAUAGUAACAAAUCGGUUAAAAAAGCAUUACAUACAGCGCAUGUUUAGGAGUACAUUUAUGAAACUAUCAGAUAUUCUGUAGUUGCAUCCUGCACUGCAGAGCCUGCCUUGAACCAGGGGUGGACCAAAUGAUUUCUAAGGUCUCUUCCAAGCCCAUGGUUUUUAGGUUUUCUACAUUUACUCCCCAUAAAAUGAAAUUUAUCAAUCUCAUAAUUGUGCACAUUUAGCCGAGGUAACUUGGAAAUGACAAACAUUCCUUUUCUUUAUUGCAAUUAUUAUACCUUUGCAAGACUUUCUGAAAUAAUGGGAGGCAGGGAAGGAGAAAACUUAUCUGUUCAUCCUUGUGCCACUCCAUCUACAUUUUCGGCUCUGUCUAAAAAGGCAGGAAACAAAUGGUUAAAGUUCACUUUGUUCCAUUCCCAAGUUUUCUGCUUUAACCAAGUUAUCUCUCACCAUCCCCACCUCGGCUCUAUGCAGACAUUCCAAAAUAAAUAUCAAAUCAAAGGGCAGCCUUGAAUUAGCUAAAAAAGGGAUCAUAACAAGCAGUAAUUGAAGAACAGGAAAGCCAGUUAAAUAUUUUUAUUCAUAGAAUGGAAUCUUGUCAUCCAUGUUAAUAACUUGAGGCAAGAAUUUGAGGCUGAACCAUCCUAUUUGUGAUGAUAACCUAUAAGGGGAUGUAACCCAUUGACUGGCAGGAAAACAGCCUCUGCCACAAACAAGGCAGUGAUGCCUAUUGGCCCUGGGGCUCAGGAGGACCCCUUGGGUUAAGUCAGCAGGGUACUCAGCUCUUUAGAGUAAGCUGGAGUUUAGAAAAGAUCAUGGCAGGGAAUUUUAAAAGCCUAAAAUUACAAAGCUUAUAAUAUAGUGAUAACUUCAGUGCUUAGUUAAGUAAGUGAGCUGAGCUUAAAAUGUUUUCCAGGUUCUUCCUAAAGGGUGGGUGCAGACAAGAGUUUUCCAGAGACAUAAAGGCACUACAAUAAAGUCAUAAUUGCCCCUGGUACACACUUCCCUUCCCUGAUCAAAAAAAUGUUGCAGGUUUUUGAAGCCUGAAAAACCUGCCAGGCCUGUUUUGCUAGAGACCACAUCAGGACAGAAAAUAAAAAACCUGAGUACUGUAGGCAUCAGUGGCACUAACAUGUGGCUUUCAUGUCUCCGAGUUGGGAAUGCUGCCAUCUGUAUCCAGCAGUAAGGAGGAGGAAGAGGAGCAGGGCCAGAGCUACUAAGCAAGCCCAUGGUUUUUGAACAUUCAACAUUUGGCGCUUGUGCUGCAUUAGCUGACAUGGGGCUUAUUGAACUUCCCUGUGCCUGGUGAGGGUCUGUCCAUAGUAUAUCUCUUGCUGAUUUAUGUGGCAGCCCAGGCCAAAAAUAUACUAUCCUUGUUGCUGCCUUAUUUAAAGCUAUACACACAGGCUUAUCUUGGGCAGCAAAGUGUUCCUGUUUCCUGCAAGGGAUUAACCCUGCUCAGUUUGCUCCAGAGAUAGAGAGGAUGCAGUGAUCCACUUACUGCCUGUAGGGUGCAUCAUGCGGAAGAUUAUUUAGGAAGAGCUCAAUGGAGGGAGGGGACCAAGUUCAGUGUACUGUUUAGGGCUUAUCCGCACUUCUCUUUCCUCAACUCUUUCCAGGCACAGUCCACGAUUUAAAGCUGUGUGUCCAAAUGCCCCCAACCCAGAGCUUUCCCAGUGAAAACCCACUCUUUAAAGCUCAAUUGGAGUAAAUGUCAAUCCAUGGAAAACCCAAAUAGAUUGCUCUGAUUGAGCUUUAAAGAGUAGUUUUUAGAUGGGAAUAAAGGUAAAGGUAAAGGGACCACUGAUACUCAAGGCAAAAAAAAGCCCAUGCUUGGACAUGGAACGUUAAUGCACAGACCUCUGCUUGGAAAGAGCAGUGUAAAAGGUAAGUGUGGAUAAGCCCUAUGAGACCUCAGUCUUCAACAAGGAAAAUAAUUUGUUGGGAAUCUACCAGUUGAUGGGCAUGCAGCCUUGAAUAAGGGGAUGCAGAGGAGUUAACCACCACAAAUCAGCAUAGCAUAAUGCAGUACAGAUUGUGUGGACAGAUCUAUAAGGAGUGCUUGGUAUGGAAGACCAUUUCCAGCUCCACAGUUCUAUGAUUCUUCCUAUGACAUUCCAUAGCUAAAUCCAGAAUGCAUGUUUAUAAAUCAAGCAAGAGAUGGGCCUUUGCAGUAUAGCAACAUGCCAGGAGCUCUGGAAUGAAGAUAUGCGACUGUGCUGUUAUGUUUAUUGUUAAGCAUGUCCAGAAUAUCAUUUAAAUUAGGAUAUUCCCCCUGUUUGCCUGAUGCAUCUGUUUUUUGUAUUUAUUCCCGGUAAUAGUUGUCUUGCAAGGCCUAACCUGGCUUGCAAGUUUGUGCAGCCCCAUCGCCUUACAAGUUUGUCAUUGAGAAAUUCAGCUUUCUGAUGUCUCCAAGCUUGCUAAGAAUAAACUUAAUAAAUUAGUGAGCACGCUUCAAGUGCACCACCAUGGGCUGCUCUGGCAUUUUAAUCUGACGGUGAAGCUAUCCAGAGUGUUCUCUUAGCGUGUGGCCAAAGCCUGAAGUAUUUGCACACGGCCGUUGUCAGUACAUUGAGUGACCCCUUGUGUGCCGCUCUGUCAGGCCGAGUGAAUUUAUAAGAAUCUUCCACUGGUGAAGGUAGCAAAGCUGUUUCUUCUAACACACUAGAUGGAGUUAUCUCACUUAGAUCACCUUCCCCUUGUCUCGCCAAUCUAGCUGAUGAGAGAUUAUUAAACAAUGCAGCUGUAUUUUAUGCUCUCCAGGGCUGUAUAUCCUAUUCAAUGACACACAUUCUUUGCAGGUCAAUUGUAAAACAUGUUGGAGGAAGUUGGCACAAAAGCAAUCUCUUACAAAUCCAAGCAAAUUGUUCUGCUUUUACGUGGCCGUGUUUUAUAUAGAAUGGCCUGUAACCUGUUAAUGAAGCUCUGCCUAGGCAGUGUCAUUGCAACCCAGGAGCUUUCUCAUCACUGGUGAAAGGAAAGGGAGCGUUAAUUCUUUACAGGAAAGCGGUUCGAAGCUGAGAGGAAGUGAAAUGAAACAUCUGCUGCCAACAGAGUUGGUCCCUUAGCAAUAAUACCUUGCUUCAGCAACCCCAUGGCAGAAUGUCAGCACCUCUGAGCACAGGAAAAGCCAAACAGAUUCCACUAAAUGAAAUGAAGAUAAUUCUCCAGCAGUGGCCCAGUCUUUAUUUCUGCCCACAGUAUGCAGGCAAAUGGGAAUACAACACUGAACAAGGAGUCAACCUGGAGCAUUCCCCAAGACUAUGCUUCUUCCCCUCAUUUUCAUCAUAGGCAGGGACAGAAGAAAACAAAAGGUUUAAAUGAAGUGGACUGAACAAAGACUGGAGUGCAAUCUCACUCCAGAGCCAACCAAACGUUAUAAGCCACAAAAUUGUGCUUACCGUGUGGCAGUGAAGGCACUAAGGAAGUCACACUUCACUGUAUCCAUUAUGUCUUUGAGAGGUCAGCUGGCGGAAUGACAAGUUAUCCUAUAAAUGUAAAACAGUUAUGAUGAGACAUGAAGCAGCCACCUUGCUGAAUCUGAGGAGCUGAUCAGUGCCUGAAUAGAAAACCACCUGGCCAUUAGUAAGUUGCAUGAUGGAAGAACCACAUGAUAUAAAUGCUUUAAAAUAAACAAGUACGGUAAAUCGUGUAAAACGAGUGCAUUACUAUCAGUGUUUUCAAAUCCCCAUGCAUUUUUCAAGAUAUGAUGGUAUACCUCUUAACUUUGCUGGUACAAGCAAGAGUACAAACAGCAUUUGUGCAGGUGACUCCAGCAUGACUAGACUAUAGUUCUGCUAACUUUCUCAGGCAAUUACAGUUCGCUUUCUUCAUCAGAUCAUAGGAAUCAACUCAUUCCCCAUCUUUGCCUGCUCCAUGAAGUUCUCGAUAUAGGCUAGCCUACUGUAUGGCUAGCUUACUGUAAUUCAUGCCUAGGUGCAUGUGCUGCAGCUCUUAGCAUCACCAUAGUUUUUCCUCUAGGAAUGUCUUCCUAGUUUGCGCCUGCUGCUAUGAAGCAGUACAGAACUGAUAAGGAAGAAGGGAGGAACAUGGCUGUUUCUUGCUUUCCUGCCUUUGAAAGCUUUGUGGAAUUCCUGCAUGUUUCGAAGGUGCUUCCAUACUAGUUCCAGUGACAGAUCACCCAUUUUUUUCUGAUGGAUAAUAUUUCUACCAGGAACCUCCCAAAGCCCACAUUACCAUCAGAGUCUUCUCAUCUUUCUUUUCUUCCUCUUUCCUCUUCCAUGUUGCAGAGGCCUUGCACUGUUUUUAAGGAACCAUAAAGCCUUUUUGUUUCUUUUAUCCCCCAAAGUGAUUAAUGCAUCCAGUUCUCCCCCAGCCAGGGAUGAAGAAAAUACUAUUAUCCCUCCAUUACUCACAUAUUGUGUUGCAACAUCUCUUUUGGUAACGUUAGAUCACAAGCAAUGAUAUUAUUAAAAAAUGAGAAUUUUACUCCGCACACGAUGAAAUCCAAUCUGUAUUUAUUGCCUUUAACCGCCAGCCUCUAGAGUCAUCCAGAAUAAAUGUUUUGAGUUCCCUGCAGGGAAACUCUGGCUUUUGCACUCCAGACAUUGUUAAUUAGACUGUACCAGCCCCCCAGCCCCAUGUGCAUACAGCAGGGAUGUGUGAGUGACAUUAAUGUGACAUCAUGUGAAGAUAACGUAUGCCCAUGUCUUACACCUCAUUAUGUCAUGCCAUGAUGGACUACCCAGAAUGCCCUGAAUUGGCAAGAAGAUAUUUUUGUGUGUGCAUGUGGGAGCACAAUCUUUCUGCCUUAAAGAGUUUUUGGCAAACACCUGAGCAACCUCAGCACUGUCUGCAUUGCUUGUAAAUAGGAAAUGCCUGCCAAUAGGGAAGAAGCCAAGCAUCUCAUCUCCUCAAUGCCUUGGAAAGAGACUACAAGAGUCAGAGGUGCAUGCAUAGUUUUGCUAAAGAGAAUUUGUGACCUUAGAUCCAGAAGCCACUGCUCUUAUUCAUAAGCGCAGUAAUGUAUAAAACCCUGGAGCCUGCUCUAUCAGAUCCUGUGCAUCUUCUGCCACCUCCUCGUUAUAUCUUUAUUUCACUGUAUUUGAUACUGUAAGCUAUGGGCAUGCUUUUUAAAGCAGCCAGCAUGGGUCAUGUCCAAUAGGGUUUCUGAAGGCUAGGUCCCUAUCAAAGGCAGCAGCUGGCCAGCUGCUUUCCUUAGUGAUAACGAGCAGCUAUACACAGCUCUCAGGACAGUGCAGUCUGCUAGCAAACUUGUGAACUGUUCAGAACAUUUGGUUGGCAGGAACCUCAGGAGUUUCACUUAUUUCAAUUUACUAGCUAGUUGCAUGGUCAGAACUUCAUACAGUUGUUCCCCAAUGCUCACUCUGGGAUGCUGUAACUGUCAUGUAUACAUCCUCCCCCAGCCAUCAUGGCAGAGAACCACCACUACUUUCUAAACAUCACUGUUUCAAAUGUUAAGGCCUUUCUCUUUGAAGAUCCCAUAUUGCAGCUGAGUUGCCAGCUUGCUUUUACUUGCAGUGGCUGUUGCAGCACUGAUUCACAAACACUUGGUGUUUUCCCUCCAUCGCUUUAUCUCUGUGCCAGCAGAAGCUUCACCUGGAAAAUGUCUGCAAACUGUUGAAGCCUUUGUGGUAGAACAGUAAAAAAAGUUGGCAGCCUUAAUAGUAGAGUGUCUCUUUCUUUUGACAAAAAGGGGCAAGGAAACCAAAAGGUCUGCUUCUUCCUCCGCCCACAGUCUCCUUUUAUCAUUUGUCCCAUACUGUGGAAUGUGCCAAGAGGCAGCUGGAAGCAAAACCAACUAAUGCCCCUUUGCCAUCAUUACCUGGGAGUUGCAUAUUUUAUGGAACUUUGAAUUAGAUUAAGGGCAUGUCUUCACUGUAGGCCCACACUCCUAAUUCAUCAUGAUUACUUUUUUUGGAGGGGGGGGGACCUCUCCUGUAUGUUUGGUGUAAUUCUUGCAUUGUCAAACUGAAAGGGAGGGAGGGGGAUCCCUGCACAGACAUGUCCUAAGUGCUCAGAUCCAUAAUUUAAGCAUUGACAAAGCACAUUUCAAGAAUUCAAAGCACUUUACAUAUACUAUCUCAGUAAUCUUUACAACAAGGCUGUAAAGGAAAGUCACUACAAUUAUAUCCCCUUAUUUCAGAUUAAAGAUUGAACUAUCGUGGGUUGCCCAUGCAACUAAUGAAUUAAUAGCUGAGCAGACAUAUGAAUUAUGGGACCUCCUGGCUCACGGCUCACAUGCUUAACUGCUUUGUUAAACUAUCCCCAUUAUGGCAAAAGUAAAUGUUAAUAACAAUCCGUUUUACACUGGAUUUGUUAAACCAUAGUUUGGAGGGUUAUCUGAAUGCUGCCAGCAUGAUCUAGCAAAAUGUUCACUUGUGCAAUGUUCACAUACCAUACCAGGGAACCAGGCAGAGGGCCUUCUCGGUAGUGGUGCCUGCCCUAUGGAAUGCCCUCCCAUCAGAUGUCAAGGAAAUAAAUAACUAUCUGACUUUUAGAAGACGUCUGAAGGCAACCCUGUUUAGGGAAGUUUUUAACGCUUGCUGUUUUAUUGUGGUUUUAAUAUUCUGUUGGGAGCCACCCAGAGUGGCUUGGGAAACCCAGCCAGAUGGGUGUGGUAUAAAUAAAUAAUAAUAAUUAUUAUUAUUAUACUCAAGGGGUAUGCUAGCCUGAGUUGUACUAUUGGGAUUUGCUUCUGAGCCAUUAUUUGGGAAGGGGUAAUACACAACUCUGCAUCACCUUUUAUUUUAUUUCUUUUUACUGAAAGAGAACAAUUGUUCAAAUGCAAAAUUAAGAUCUGAGACAUUACUCAAGGAGCUCUAAAAAUGAACAUCCAAAAUAGCUUGAGAGUGAAGUGGAGUGGAAAAAUCAGUAGGAAGAAGGGCAAAUCUGGGUGCAAAGUUGGUAGGAAGAAGAGUUAACUGUGAGCAUGAGGUCAGCAUGGUGCCAUCUUGGAUUUUUGUCAGCACACAGUUUUUGUAGUAAUUUGCAGCUGUCAACCUCUGUCUUUUCAAAACGGCAUUAUUUGAACUGUGAUAAUGCAGGUAGUAGCCAAUAGUUCCAUGACGUCUGCUUUUGCUGAUAUUGCAGACCAGCUGCAUGUUAAAGCAACUUCCACGUAGCAAUGACCCACAAUAAACCUGUACUGUAGGCAAGUCCUGACUUUGAAAUCCAAAAUUUGCAGGAUAGAUAGCAGCCGUAGACAAGGAGUCUGAGUCCUUCUGUCACAUAGGGCCACCCAUGCGAUGAACUUCCUGUUUUCUGUUGGGCCUAGAUUCAGCCAAACAGAAUGUACACCAGAUAUGUUACAGCAUGAUUUACGGCCAGGAAUUUAACAAUUGCCUUUGGGUCUACCUGUCCUCGCCUGGAGCAACUGAGGGCUUUGGUUUGUACAGUUGCAUCAUUCUGCUGUUGCAAGCAGGCUUGAGAAGAAACAGCCAUGGAAAAAUCCCAUAACAUUCCACAGUUGGCCCAACCAGGCGCUAUCAAAGCAUUGCCCCCACUGCCUUCAGCUUUGAAUCUUAAUCCAAUAGCUCUACAGGAAUUUUCUAGCAUAGGCUGGGGAAGUGUGGGGUGCGGGGGGUAUGUGUCUCUGUGCACCAAGGCUUUGGUGAGCAAAGUCUUGUCCGUGGGAUCUGUGGGUAAGGCAGUUAUCUCUAACGGAGGAGUCUGUUUGGUACAGUCUGCCUCAGUCUCUGGGGCUCCAAUACUUAGGAUUUGUGGUUCCAAGUGUGUGUUAUCAGGGUCAAUCCAGGCAUUCCUAUUACCUGUGACCAUCAGUGUUCCUUUAGGAUAGUGCUUCAGCUUAUCUAAGGCUCUGCUUAUUACCGCUCUGUUCACCCAUUUGCAAUUGCUCUUUCAGUCACGUAGAGAAAAUUACGUCUUCCUGUGGCCCUGGCAUGUCACACACCAUUGCUGAGCUGGAAAAGGUGCAUCAUAAACAAGUCAUGUGUCCCUUGGCACAGGCAGGCAACAGGCAGGAAUGGGGUUAGGUUUUGUUGCUUGUGAGUUAAGAACUUUUUCAAUGGGGUGGAUCAGUUUAUUUGUUUUGAUUCAUACAUUGGGCCUGGCCAGUCAUUGCACUUGAGGGUGGAAAGCAGUUUAGUGCUAGUUGUUUUUCACCAUCCCGUCUAGCAUGUGCUAUGCAUGCUAGUUUUGACCAGGAUGAGUAUUAAUUGAUCAACAUUUUAUCCUAUAGGUCUUGCAUGGGACAUGUGUGAGGAAAUUUGGCCACAGACCCAGGUAUACCUAAGUGGCAGUCCUGGCUUCCUUCACUGACAUGCUAACUUACCAUGUGCAGGAGUCUGGCAUAAGGAUCUAUAUAAUAAAUAAAUAUACGUGACAAGGUCUGGUAAUGCCUACUCUGAUCUGAUAACUGAUUUGUCCAUAUAUUGUAUUGUAUUAAUAAAUAAUUUCAGGACUAGAUCUGAGAAGCAUGUCAUCUCAACCAGACUGAUUAUUGAAUAUAGAGAACACAGGAAACGGCCAUAAAUAGGAAAGGACCAGCUGAUUUGAAGCAUAUGAUGCUCUGCUAGUGGGGCUUGGGUGGUUUCCUAGUCAUUAAAUAAUUUUACAGAGGCAAUGACAGUCCUCAAUAUCUUGUCAGUGACUGCUGGCUCUGUGCCAGCUCUGGAAACUAUUUGUAUUAUUGUGUUUUUUGAAACUGCAAAAGUCCUUACAGUGCCUUUAUUUUAGCCCUUAAAACAGGCUAGUGAGAACAAAAAAUACCUUUCUUAUUCAAUUCAAUUAAUCAAAUCCAUAUUUCAUUCAGGAUUCAAAUCCAGGCCCGCUAGGCCCAAGUCAGGGCUCGAUUUAGAUGAAGAGAGGCCCUAGGCUUCUCCACGUGUGAGGCCCCUCCCCAUACCCCACCCUCACAACUAGAAAGAAAUGGAAGAGUGUUAUAAACAAAAUUGAGUGAAGCCAAGGAUAAUGAUGGGUAUUUAAAAUUCUGCAAUUCACAAUUUCUCCUUUAAAGGACAUAAGAUAUUAUUGUUAAAUGCCAUGGUGAUUUUUAAAAAUGCAUAAAAUCAACACUGAAAAACUUUUGCAAUAACUGAACUUUGUAUGCUUUUUGUGACCUGGGCAGGCUGGGUCUUCCUGUUAUAUACCUGCUGGGAUUGACAAGGCAUCUGACCCUCACCUGAAUCUCAUAACUCUCCUGAUGAGUUCUUUGGUCUGCCCACCAGAUCAAAAGUAAUCAAUUUUAAUCUAGAAUUUAAAUUUUCAAAACUUUCUUAUUUGUUAAUUCGAGCAAGUAAACUACUGCUCUCACUUCAUUACAAACAGUACUUCUACCUGCAACACACUUGAGCAAACCUGUUCCUCUUCCUUUCACAGAUAUUUUGUUGCCAUUUGCAACUGUAGCUGUCUCUGAUUAGUUAUCAUUUAACCCUUGGGGAAAAUAGUUAGCAUCUCAUGUCAUGUGCAUGGAAGUUGCCAAACCAAUUAACCAACUAGAAAGAUUACUGUUAAUAGCACCAGUUUUCCUAUAUUGGUGGAUAGUUUUGAUGAACUGCAAAAGCAUUUUUAGUUUGCUUUCUGUUGCCACCCUGGAACUUUUCUUUAUUAGUGCCACUUUGUUUUGUUUGAUUCAUUGCAAAUGAAGGGAAACAACUUUUCUGCUUGUAUAUGUUGAUAAUAUAAUUUUGGUUACUGAGGACAAACAACAUUGUACAAAAACAAGAUUGGGUGCAGGCCUGGCCAGGACAUAGGCUCUCUGACUGUGACAAAGGUGACCUGUGUGCUUGUUUGCUUGCUUGCUUGCUUGCUUAAUUAACAGCUGUUGGGAACUUCAAGGUCCCUACUCUCCCUUCUUAUGGUCUUUGUACUGAACCUGGAGACUCCAAUAGAGAGCAUUCCAUGUCAAGAAGGAGGGCAAGUGGGCACCCUAUCAAAUGACAGGGCAGGAGCUACACAGAGCAGGGCCCUUUCACUGGUGUAUGCCUCGCUCUUCCCAGACCUGCUCUCUUUUGGCCUGUAUUUUGAAGCUUUAUAAUUUAGGAAGACUUUGGAAGAACUGGUUGACAAGUCUUAUCAGUCACUGACGCAUGAGCGGAAUUUAUUUGCCGCUAUUCUGGGCUUCUGGUGCACCAGGGUUUACACCAGCGUAAUAGAGUUGACCAGGAUGCCAGAAGGGAUACAAUCUAUGAGCUUUCUCCAUUAUCUGCACAGCAGGGGGUGUUUAGUCGACAGUGCAAAGGCUGAGCUGAAGCAUUCCCUGCUGGUUACCUGCUUUCAGCAAUAGGGGUCGCUGUUUGGUAGUACCCAAUUGGUUAGCUGUCAGAUUCUAGAGCUUCCUAUUGGUGACUCUUAGGCAAUUCACAAAACACAGAGUCCAUUCAUAAAACACAGUGUUCAUUCAUAAAGCAGUAACAUAAAUCUCCAUUGCUACAUACAGUCAUACCUCGGGUUACAGAUGCUUCAGGUUGUGUGUUUUCAGGAUACGGAUGCACCGAAACCCGGAAGUACUGGAAUGGGUUACUUCCGGGUUUCGGCACUCGCACAUGUGCAGAAGCGCUGAAUUGCAACCUGCGUGUGCGCAGACACGGUGCUGUGGUUGUGGACGCUGCAGGUUGCGAACAUGCCUCCCGCACGGAUCAUGUUCGCAGCCCGAGCAUCCACUGUACUGGGUGUAUGUUUCAGCAGUUGAAUGUACAGGUUUAUGGUCAUGCUGUAGUGUAGUGCUUAUGCGAUUGUGAAUAAAAGGUGGCUGGGCUCAUUGUUUUGGGGUUUGGGGGGAAGAGUUGACAAAACUGAUUUCCAGUAAGUGCCCCCCCCCUUUAUUUCCUUGAGUCUGUACUCUGAAUAGUCACACUAGGGACCUAGAAGGUGCAGGGCUUGUCAGUCCAACCCCUGCACAGUCCCAUCAGGGCUGACCUUAAGCCAAUUGGAGCAAUUUGGCCAAAUUUGGCCCCAUGUGCCGCUCCUAAGGGGGCCCCUGCACCAGGGCAAUCUAGAUGGAUUUUAUUUAUAUCUAUAAGAUUUUGCAGACUUUGGCUGUGAACUGGGGGGGGGUCAAGUUGCGCCCCACUGCUUCAAAUUGGGCACCACUGCCUAGCCCUGAGACUCAUAGUUGCUGGGCCUGAGUUGACCUGCCCUUGCAUGAAGUCUUGGGUUUACAAUUUUGGGAGAGGGGAGACUGCGGCACUGGGGAGCAGGCAGGCUGGCAAAGCCCCCUAGAUUUAGAGGCCUUAGUUGCCCUGCCCUCACAUGAAGUCUUGGGUUUGCAAUUUUGGGAGAGGGGAGACUGUGGCACUGGGGAGAGGGCAGGCUGGUGAGGCCCCCUAGACUUUGAGGCCAGAGUUGCCCUGCCCUCGUAUGAAAUCUUGAGUUUGCAAUUUUGGGAGAGGGGAGACUGCCUGCUGGGGAGCUGGUGGGCUGGCAAGGCCCCCUAGAUUUAGAGGCCCUAGGCUUCAGCCUACUUAGCCUAUAUAUAAAUCCAGCACUGGCCCAAGUCUAACAUGUACCUCACACAACAACACCCCCUCCAGUUCCACAAAGUUUGCUCUUUUCCUCCCUCUGUGCCGCUGUCUUCAGCUCCAUCCCCUGCUUUCAAGUGAUCCUAAAUUACCAGAGCUACAUUAAAGGCUGUACUCCCAGAGGACAUCCUGCAAUUACUUACUAAUACAUUUCCUCAAACUCUUGCUCUGGAAUAUCUCAUAGCAGUCUGACAGAGAUAUAUUCACCCCUAAGUUCUCUUUAUUGUCCACAGCCGCUGUUCUGCAUAGAAGAUUUUUGAAAUACAAAAGGUUAACAAGACCACACUUAGAGCUCACAUUUGGCCAGUUUGAAGCUCGACAAGAGGCAUUAAUCCUAUAACCAUAGAACUGUAGAGUUGGAAGGGACCAUGAGGGUCAUCUAGUCCAACCCCUUGCAAUGCAGGAAUCUUUUGCCCAACAUGGGGCUCGAACCCAUGACUCUGAGAUUAAGAGUCUCAUGCUCCACCAACUGAAUACAGAGCAAAGUUAGGAAUUGCUGUUCUCUCCCUCCUGCAGUGUUGCAGAGAACUGGCAACACUAGUUAACCUGGGCUUUUGUAUAGCAGAGUAUUGCAUGACCUGAAAGAUGUUAUUGAGGAUCACACCUAAAAAAGAGGAUACAACAUGUCUCCCUCCACUACCCACCCUUCCCCAAGUAUUUCAGCACACACACACACCCCAAAUAGAACUCAUGCUUUGGCCCAGAGCAGGUAGGAGAGGAAGAAAAGGGGUUAAGGGAGAAGUUGGGCAGGGGAAGCUGUGGCUAUACCCUCUUCUGCUUCUGAGUCACUGUCAGAGAGGCUAACAUGAUCUCCAGAGUGUGACAUGGCAACCCUACGGAAGAGACCCGUGCUGUUGCUGCCUCCAUCACCUCGUCUGUUAGCUGCCCUGACACUGAGGAAGUGCAGAUCACUGUUUAUUACUGUGCACCCUAGGUCUGACAUUUAGACACUGCCAGGGCUGAGAGAGAGAGAGAGAGAGAGAGAGAGAGAGAGAGAGACGCUUGUUUUCUGGCUUAAUUUAUAGAAUAGAUUCACUUGAUGAGUCACUCUGCAACUUGAUGCAUUCUGUCUAGAUAAAUGAUACUUUUUAUCCCUAUGAUAAAAGGGGAUGCAUGUGAUAUCAAAAUAAAAGAAUGUUUUCUCAGCCGAAUAAAAGUUGAAGUUGAGUAAAAACAUCCCAAGAAAGCUGGAGUUUGGAGUCUUUACCAUUUAUAGUGAAAAUUAUCAAAUGCCCUGAUAUAUUUUUUUUCUCUCCCUGUCCUCCCAAACACAAUACCAGCACUGUGUGUCACCUUGGCUGAGAUGUGGAGAAUGGUCGUUUCUGAGACACCUUCUAAGUAUCGCUGGCCAGAUGUACACACCAACUUCCAUUCCGUGCCCUUGCCCAGUUAACAGGGCUUUGCCAAGCCUCUGGACAAGUGUCUGUGCAAAGUGCUCUGGAAACACCAGCUCAGUGUGCUGCAGUUAUCAAAAAUGUCAGCACCAAACAACCAGAUAGAAAAUUGCCAGUAAAUUUAUCACAACGCCACCUUAUGAAUGGUAUUCUUCACACCUUGGCUUCUGUGAACAGUCCAAGUCACUUGACCAUUGAGAUGAUACGAUAGAACUAAAAGGCAUAUAAAAGAAAAGAAGGCUGAUUAACCAAAAUAUUCAGAGGGCUGCAAUUACUUCUAAGUGUUGACAGAUUGAAAAGAUAUGGGGUCCUUUUGUUAAUCUGUAGUCUAGUUCCUCUGCAUGCUCUACUCCAUUUGUUUUAGUGGGUGACACUGUGUGUGUGUGGAGAGAGAGAGAGAGAAUAAAACAAUGUGCUUAUUAAUAUGUCCUUUAUUGCUGCCUGCACUGGGGUCACCACUCCCCACAGACGUGAAAAGAAUAACUUGCUGGGUGGAGGGAGAAGGGGCAGUAUGUGACACUCUGCUCUGAGUCUUUGGUCACAGAUUGCAAAUUGGUUCACUUUGUCCCAUGUUCCCCGCAUCUUUGUUGUAGGAAAGUAAUAUGAAUAGAAAUUAUUAGUUAUGGGAAGGGCUGUAGCUCAGUGGUAGAGGACAUGUUUUGCACACAGAGAGCCCAAAUUUUAUUUCUUGCCACUUGUAUGUUGGACUGGAAAAGGCUCCUGUCUAAAAUCCUGGAGUAACUGAGCUGGAUGGGCAACCAGUGGUCUGACUCUGUAGAAGGCAACUUCCUAAUGAUAUAAAGGGAGAAGGUGUUAUCCAUCUAAUCAAAAUUAUCAAUCUGCAGAUUUAAAAGAAAGUACUUUUUCCACUCGACAUGCACUCAAUCCUUAGAGCUUAUAAGCAACCUAGGAUGCUGGGAGGCACAGCUGGGCAACAUGUGGCGCUCCAGACUGAAACCAAGGCCCCCACCAGCUACCCAUUUGGGACUUUUUGAUUUCUCUGCCAGCCUCAAUUGCAGAAGCAGGGCAGGGUAGCGAUUACUGAGUGCUUGGCAGGCUGCAUUAGGCUUGGACUUGGUGGAUCACAUGAUGGACAGGCCCACUGUAAGAUGGUUAAUAUGUGAAUUGGUUAAAGAACAACAAACUAUGCGUUAUAAACUUGUAAGUAGUUCUCCUAAGAUUAGUUACUCUGGAAAUUCCUUCGCUUUUAAAAUUCCCUCGAAAAUCUCUACAUCUGAAGAAAAUAAGGAAUACAAAGAAAAUGACAUUGUGGGAGAUUAUUGCCUGGAUGACCUCUACAAGCCUACCCAUUGAAUUUAAAGAAAAGUUUGGAUUUGAAUCCAGAUCUCAAUUCCACGCAUUUUCCAGCAGACUGCAUUGGUUCUUUCUUUUUCUUUCCUUUUCCUUUUCAAAUUUUUUUUUUGGGGGGUGGGUGAUUCUUAGUGCUUUUACUGAUAAGCAGAAAAAAAUAGAAACAACAGGAACAAACUCAAAUCAGGAGCAUUGUCACAAAGUUACUAAGUCCACUUUUUAAUUAACUUUCUGUUCCAUCUACUUUUCACUCCAAAGUAUCCUUCCACAACUGUCCACCCAUUAUCAGUGACUGACAAUCAUUGCCUUGUUUCAAAGCAAAUGAAAUGAAACAGUAGCAUGUGGAACCAAGGUCUUCAUUGGUGGUUUGAGUUCUGAGUUCUUUCUUUAAAAAAAUAAAAUAAAAAUCUUUUCCACCAAGGCUAAGGUCCAAACCUGUUGAUGCCAUUUAUCCAAUGAGUUUAUAUUAAAUGGGCUCCAGUGUCUAGCUACAAUGAGUGUGGCUGCUAUAAAAAGAAGUCAGUAAGUUCUUAUACAUCAGAUCUGCAGCCUCAUUUUCAAAAAUUGACAGCAAUGCUACCUUGGGAUCCAGUUGUAUUGCUUGGGUUGUCAUUGAGCCUACUAUUCUGGGGACAUGUACCCCAAAUUUUUCCAACAUAAUAAAUAUCUACCACAUGUGAAAAUAUGUACCCCACUUCCCACAUCCCCUCCAACAUGACACAUUAUUGUUAUUGGUUAUUAUGCUAAGAGUGUGGGGUGAGAGAUGCCAUUGAUGCUUUAUAUUUAUAAUAUUUUCCCGAAUUCGUGCUGAUGCCGACUUGAAUGGUGAUAUCUCCCAAUGGCGUUGGUUCUACAAGCAGUUUGUACCGUGCAAAAAAGUCACUGUUAACCUGUAAGCUUGCUCAGCCCAGACCCUAACUUUCAUUAACUUUUCUGAGAGCACCACUUUACCUAGAUAGCUGUGGGAAACAAUGGAUAAGAAUCUGAAGGUGGGGGGUGAAGUCUGGGAAGGGAUAAACCCACUUCACCUGGAUGAAAACAUUAUGAAGAAGGGAGGUGAGCACAGACAGCAAGAAAUAAAAAAAGGAAUAAAUUCCAGAGAUGUAGACCUGCCUUGCACUGUGGAGAAGAAACAGAAUGUUGGCAAUUGCACAGUUAUACUCGCUGAGUUGGAACCAUAAACUCCAAGAAAAAAGGAAUGAAUUAAACAGAACAAGAGCCGAGGGAUUUUAAAUGCUGUCUUAGAGGUUACAGUAGAUGCCUCAUAAAUCUAAACAAUUAGGAGAUGCAGUAAAGAGGCCCAGCCCAAAUGUGUUUGGAUAUGAAGCUAUGAAGCUGGAGGCAUAGAAAAACAACCUCACUCGUAGAGCUCUCAAGCAAAGCUGCCGCAUUCGGACAGUAGUGUGUCUUUGCUUGCUAGAUGCCCUUGAAGUUUUAUGUAAGAAAAGGGCAGAGAAAAUGGCACAGAAGCAAGAAUUAACCAAUUGCCAAAAGCAUAAGUUGUGUGGAACAGAGAGAUGUGAUGAGUCUUUGAAUCCAGGAUAGAACUGUGUUGAUUAGAAGGUGCCUCUACUCUAGAAGAAGCUUCUUGCUACUUCAUAGGAAAAUCAGGGUCUCAACGCUGCCCAUGAGAAAAACACCAGCAUGCUUGGAACAAACUGAUCUGGGCACGACUAAGCCUAGCUGGCUGAAGUAAUUCUUACAUGUGCAAGUUGAUAUUGGCAUAUAUGUAUUUGUUCUGUACACUUGGAUAUGGUCCAGCAGAUAUCCUGUAUGACCUGAAACUUGGAGUCUGUGGUUGAAGCUUAGCUCACAGGGCUUGCUGCAAAGGAUUUACUUUAAGUUUUGCAUGUGUAUCAGAUGGCAAUUGACUUUUAGGUCUCUGUGUACACUACAAACUUGUAUCAGUUAUAUGCCACUAAUUGCCAUGGCUUCCCUAAAAGAAAUAAAAUUUAGCAAGGUACUGAUGCUGCAAUACUAAAGGUAAAAAGUUAAAGGACCCCUGAACUGUUAAGUCCAGUCAAAGGCGACUAUGGGGUGCAGUGCUCAUCUCACUUUCAGGCUGAGGGAGCUGGCGUUUGUCCACAGACAGCUUUCUGGGUCAUGUGGCCAGCAUGACUAAACCGCUUCUGGCGCAACGGAACACCGUGAUGGAAGCCAGAGCACACAGAAACAUCGUUUACCUCCCCACGGCAGUGGUUCCCAUUUAUCUACUUGCACUGGUGUGCUUUCAAACUGCUAGAUUGGCAGAAGCUGGGACAGAGCAACGGGAGCUCAUGUGGAUUUGAACCACCGACCUUCCAAUCAGCAAGCCCAAAAGGCUUAGCAGUUUAGACCACAGCUCCACCUGCUAUACUAGGCUCAGUUACCAAGGCAUAAGCUCCACUAAUCACAUUUUAGUAGAUAUGCAUAGACUAAGCCAUUAGAGUCUUUGCUAAACACCCCUAGCUCCUACUUCACCCUGAACUACUUUUUGUGGAUAAUCUGUGUAAAGAUGAUUAUUAUUAAACCAUUUAAAGUGUGUAGUAUAGUUCCUCACUUGUAAAACCCAAAUACUAAUUCAUAUUAUGAAGUUGAUAUGAAACUCACAGAUAGAGCAAUCAAAACCCCAAAUCUGAAAUGCCAGCGAUGGUUUGGAUGAAGUAGAGGUGUUGAUGAAGUAGAGGUGUCUUUCCUCCCAGAGACCCCCAGCCCUGUCUGACUCCACCAGCCCUGCUGGCAAGGAACACCUCUACCCAGAUCUGCUCAAUUCCACCAGCCCUGCCAGCAAAGAGCAUCCCAAUGCACAGACAGAAACUACUGCUGGAGGCACCCGCACUGGCUGUAGCCAAUGGAACCACACACACCCUAGGACAUUUUAGUGGAGGGAGCUGGGCUACCACAGGAUCUGCUGGAUGAUGAUGGUGAUGGUGUCUUCAGCAUGUGACAAAAAGUACAUAAUGAAUGUAUCCGAUGCAAUCCUGUGGGGAGGUAAUUCCACAGCUUGGGGAUUGCCAUAGCAAAUGCCCUCUCCUAGGCAGCUCUCCCAUAAGCUUAUGAGGAUGAUGGAACUACCAAGAGGGCUCCCUCUGCUGAACAUGAGAGGGUCCAUGGGAAAAGAGGCAGCCUUUCAGAUAUUUGGGGCCCAAGCCAUUUAGGGCUUUAAAUACUAAUGUCAGCAUGCUGAAUUGGGCCUGGAAAUGAAAUAAUGCUGAGCUGGCCCUGCUGCCGUCAUGUGAUGGCAACAGUUCUGAUCAGGGUGUCUUCAUUGUAGGAACAGCAAAGGGACAUUAUUUUACACCACACCCACCUUCUGCCCUGGGUGGUGGCAGCAGUGGGACUGUGUCUAUAGUGCUGGCAGUACCGUUCAAUCAAGCCCCACUGCUGGUGGUCAGGAGUUUAGGAAUGCAUGCUAUCUAUAUCUAAGAAUAUAAGUAAAUACCUAAAAUGCAGUUGUAUUAUUUUAUCUUGCUCUAAUUUUUCCUUGUUAGGGUAGAGAAGACUAUCCUUCAUUAGUUCACUGGUUCUCUGCUAGCUUGUUUGCAUGUAAGGGCACUAUGAACAAUCUCUCUUCUUAUGAACAACUUACUGAUCUUUUGCUUUUCUUUUAAACCUCGCUUUCUAACCUACUUGGCACAAUGGUUAACCCUGCCCAUUGCUAGGGAAUGCUGAAUUCAAGAAGGCUUGAGAAAUGUCUUUAACAGCCCACCUCUCUUGGGAUUAGCAGAAGCUACAUACAGGAAAUGCUGCUGCCAAGGUCAUUUUUGCUACUUGUGAGGCCUGAAGCCUACCUUGCCAUAGGCUGCCACAGGCAUCUGAUGCGAUGUGGAUUUGUUUAAGGAAGCUUAAAACCAAAUCUGGACCUUCUUUUUUCAUUGACUCUUUCCUUCUAUAAAUUCAAACACCUUGAGGAGAGUCUGCCUGUGCAGUCUUCCAUGUGACAUUUCACCCAAACCACUUACAAACAACUUGCGUUACUUACAAGUUUAUUCAUUCCUUUCAGAAUGUUGGCUCAGCUGUGCGUCUCCAGAGCCAUCUGUUGCGGGUGAGCAGCUUAUCUCAGCUAUCAGAGCCCUCUUCUAAAUAUUAUGACCAAACAGGAUUCCAAGAACAACAGCCAUCCUGUUGCACAGAGAAUGCGCAAAAGCCGAUAAACUGUUUAUACAUUAUCAGCUAAAUAAGUUGGGUUUAUCUGGAAAGGCCUGCAUAAAAUCCCUGAUGCUGGUGGCGAGGAAUUCUGCUUGCCGUUACUGUUUGGCAGGGCAAGCUCUAGUGGCAGUGGCUGUUUUGUGCCCUGUCAGUCCAUGGAGCUUUCCAUAAAUCCAGCCCUUCUCCGCAUUGACAAGGGGAUUUGAACAGGAAAGCCAGCCAGGAAAUGAAUGUGGGAGAAGCAUGGGACCUUCCGUAGCCAGAGAAAAGGAUAAUCUGGGUGAGCAGGAUGAAGAGAGGUAACGUGAGCAACAGAAACAUGGCAUAAGGUAGGGGUUUUACCAGCAGCAAAGGACUGAUAGAAAGUGUGUUGUAUUCUGAUGCACUAGAUCCAACGUGUACUGUCCCCUUCAGAACAACCCAGACUUCCGAUUCCCCUCUCUUCCACCUUAAAUUAGAAGACUUCUGUUGCAGCCCCGGGUUAGGAAACCUACCAGGGUUGUUUGCAGCCUUGUAAAUAAAUCAAAGGUAGUGUAUCUCUGAACACCAGGUGCUGAGGAGGAGCAGCAGGGAGAGGGCUGUGGUCUUCAUUCAUUCACCCGGUGCUAUACCAGCUGCACUGGCUCCCGGUGGAGUACAGGAUCAGGUUUAAGGUGCUGGUUUUAACCUUUAAAGCCCUAUACGGCCUAGGACCCUCGUACCUACGGGACCGCCUCUCCUGGUAUGCCCCACAGAGAAACUUACGGUCUUCAAAUAAAAACACCUUGAAGGUCCCAGGCCACAGAGAAGUUAGGCUGGCCUCAACUAGAGCCAGGGCUUUUUCGGCUGUGGCUCCGAUCUGGUGGAACACUCUGUCACAAGAGACCAGGGCCCUGCGGGACUUGACAUCUUUCCGCAGGGCCUGCAAGACAGAGCUGUUCCACCAGGCCUUUGGCCAGCCUGACUCCCUCCCUCAGCAAUCUUCGCGGAGCUCUGGCCCAAUGGUUGCCAGUGGCUUGAAUUAAUUAAUUUUAUAAUGAAUGAUUUUAGAGUGUUGUUUAUGCUGUACUUUUAUACUGUUUUAUUGUUGUUAGCCGCCCUGAGCCCGGCUUCGGCUGGGGAGGGCGGGAUAUAAAUAAAAUUUAUUAUUAUUAUUAUUAUUAUUAUUAUUAUUAUUAUUAUUCAAGUCUUGCUUGUGGGCUUUCCAGGGGAAUCUGGCUGGUCUAACACAGUUGGAAGUAAGAUGGACCUAUGGUCUGAUCCAGCAGGUCUGUUCUUAUGGCUAUGGAGGAUGGGAGUGUAGAGGGCAAAAUACUUACUUUUUUAUAUGUCACAAAAUUUAUAUAUCACUUAACUGAGAAAGUAGCUCAAGUGGUUUACAUAAAAAAUCUAACAUAUUCAUUUAAAAUACCAAUAAAACCAAAGGCUAAAAUUAAAAUAAAACAAUGCCUAUCAAAGUUAGAAUCAUAGAAUCAUAGAGUUGGAAGAGACCACAAGGGCCAUCGAGUCCAACCCCCUGCCAAGCAGGAAAUUCAGUUAUUCAGCUGUUGAUACCCUCUUGGAUUUUGCUACCUUUUGUUAGUCCAUUGUCAUAUAGGUUCUGUUCUCAUACAUAAAGCAGCCUUAUACGGAAUGACGGCAUACCAUUGUUCCAUUUUGCCUUUUGCUCCACCUUUUCUCUGAAUACUGGGAGCUCUCUUGUAUUCCUUGCCAUGCUGCUUGAGAUCCUUUUAAAAUUGAGACACUAUGGAUUUAAAUUGUGACUUGAUGCAUCUGAAGUAUAAUAUGCUCAAAGACUGAGUACAGAGUUCAGUUGUAAUCUAGCCAGCUAGGUAUAUGAAACAGAGGAGAGGACAUUUCCAGUAAGCUGCAAACCAAAAGGGAAGCAUCUUUUUAAUCUAAGAGUCCAAUCUUAGAGUUAUUUGAUAAACAAGAAAUGUUGUUUGAUAGCAAGGGACAUGGGCAUAGCCAGGAUUUUUGUUAGGGGGGCAGAACCUCAGCGAUGCAUUUUUUAUUGAUUUUUAUUGAUGGGGGGGGGGGGAGGCAGCUGUCCCUCCUUGGCUAUGCCCAUGGCAAGGGAGGGAUUUGCUGGAUUCUGAAACUUCUGUUAUUUCAGAAGCAAUCAGUGAACCAAUAUUCAGCAUCAGUGUGAGUUUCUUUCUUUCUUUCUUUCUUUCUUUCUUUCUUUCUUUCUUUCUUUCUCUGUUCAAAUUGUUUUAAGGCAGAAAUUGUUAAAUGAUCCACUUAGCCUAAGGGACACAUAAAAUUAACACAAAGAAUUGCAGGAUCCCAUUCCUCCAGAGUGGUAGUGCAGGGAGAGAGUUGGAAAACACAUUAAAAAAAUAUAGUUACAAGUUUUCCACAUCAUCACCCGUCUCAAGCUGUUCUUUAUUCUGUACAGAAAACACCAGAUCAAGUGUUCCCAGUUUGGAAGGGUAAAGAUUUCCUAUCUCCUCCUAAUCUGCAAAACACAAACUCUAUCUCUGCUAUUCAUGUCUUCAGAAUAUGAUACUUAACAAUGGAUAUCUGCUAAUGAUGCUUACAGCAGAACACAGUGUUGUUCUCUGUCUCAUAGACAAAUGUGCUCUACAGGGCCAAAUGUAGUAAAAUUAUGUAAAGGGAGCUAGUGUCAUUCAAAGAGCUGCAGACAAGGCAAAGAGACCCUUUUGCAAAGGAGCCAUGCUAAUUUUACAUUUUUUUGGAAUAAAAGUGGUGUAAUUAUACAAUAGGAAUAAUACAGCAUGGCUGCAUACUGCACCCUUGUUAAUGCUUACCAGUAAUCCGUUAAUUGGUUGCAGUUUUCUUAAGGCUGGUUCAUAUAUGAACACUUAUCAUUUAUUGAUUGCAGAAUAAAGUGAUAACCUGCUUCUGUUAUAUUCCAUAUACUGCAGAGGUGCACUUAGCCAGUACUAGAAACUGGGCUUUUAGUGUUGCAACUCCAGCUCUCUGGAAUCAGCUACCAGCUGAAAUCAGUCAGGUACGUCCACCAUAUAGUGUGUACACAGCCUUAGUUCAAUACUCUAAACCAAUAUACCACACUGACUUUGGGAAAUGAAAGACCUUGGUUAUUCACUCAUUCUCGGGCUCAAGACUUCAUCACCACAGCAGAGGAGUGAUUAGCACUCACAUAUCUGCUGAGUAACUCCUUUAACAGUAUGUGGAGUGUUUCUUAGUGUACAUGAAAUAGGAAAUGUUUGGUAUUUGGGAGGGAAAAUGGGCAAGACAGGAGCCACAGCAUCUCUGAUAAAAUUCCCUGGGCAUUUUUCUAAUCAUUCACAGAGGAAUGUGCUUCGAAGUUUCCAGCUCACAAAAGCUUAAAAGUUGUUUCUCAAAUCCCACUUUAUUGGGUUUGCAUGAGUUUUCAAAAGCUUGUGGAUUUCAGGUUUGAUGGGAAAAGGAGGAGCAGGAGGUUUAACACUGUCUGAAUCCUGGGAUCUUUUGGUAUACAGAGGAGAUUCACAUGAAAAGCUGAUGACAUGGUAAUAAUGCCUCCUUGUGGGCAUUAUUAUUGUGCAAUAAAUGUGCUUUCAGGUGUGUAUCAUACAAGCUACAAGGUACCAGGUAACUAGAAUUAGCCUCAGCUAUCCGUUGUUCUUUGUGGCAUCUAUAAGAUGGUGUGCAGUAUCUGCACAAGUACAAAUCUAUUAAUCAGGUGCACAGGGCUGUGGCCCCAAACAUUUUGGUAUACUCCAUGUACAGAAGCUGGAUGGACUGGCUGUUGAAUCUUACUUCACCUCUGACAAUGGGCCAGCAUUCCAGUGCACCUGAGGGCAGCCAAAUUUAGGGGCACAAAGGCCAAGUACUGCAAUCUCCAGCAGAGGGGUAUGACGGAUGAGGUAUGGAAGAAAGGAUAGGGGAGGGGAUUUAGCCAUUGCUGCUCCCCAGUAUCUGCCACCUAAGGCAAUUGGCUCACAUUGCCUAAUGGUAUGGCCAGCCCUACAGGUGCACAGUGAAUGUGCUGCUGCUGUAUGUUGGUUGUACAAGCAGUUGCAUAGAUCACAGCAUUGAUAGGCAGAGUUGCUUAUGCAAUUAUUAAAUGAGUAUCUGCUCUGAGCUAGGGACAGUAGUGAUGUGAUAUAAUCUUUGAAGAGAUCUAAGCAUGAAAAAUACCAAGGAAACAUUCACCCAUAUUAUCUUGGUUUAAGGCAGGGAUCAGCAACCUAAGGCCCAUGGGCCACAAGCUGCCCACGGGGGUCAUUUAACCGGCCCACGAGCUGCCCCUGAACCGAUCAGCCUGAUUGGCGAGUCCCCACGCACUGCGCUAAACCGGUGCGGUGCGGGGACUCGCUUCCGUGGUGCCGGAAAUCUUGUCUGCGCAGACGCCAGAAAUCGCGGGUGCGCGUGCUCACACACAUGUGUGAUCCGGCCCGUGGAGGGAUCUCUGCUGGAGUGAACCAGCCCAGGCAAGGUAAACCUUGCCGACCCCUGGUUUAAGGUUUUGGUUUUGGUUUUUUAUAAGUAGCACAGUGCUUGGUUCUCUCUCUCUUCCUUUGUCUCACUUCUGUCCUGCCCUCCCUACCAAAGUGCUCAAUGGAGCCCAUUAUGGAGCCAUUUCCUUUCUUUCCUCACAACAGUCCUGUGACGUAGUUUAGACCACAGAGAUAGUGACUGCCCAAGGCCAUCCCAUUUAUCCAUAAAUCAUUGGGCCUCCAUGGGUUUCUUUUGUCCAAGCCACUGCGCCACACAGCCUCUCUCUUUUUACUAUUGCUGGAAAAGGAGACAGCUUUGCAUUGGGAUUAUUCCCUGGGCUUCUGUACACAGCUGUCUCAUGUUUUAGAAAUCCUUCCACACACUGCAGCCAGAUAGUCGCCUGUGAAGUGCUCCAGCUGCAUCAUUCUUAACUUCAGCCUGGAAAUAUAUGAAACUGGAACUAGAAUCUCAGUUCCUCUGUUCCAGCACCUGGGCUGCUGGAAAGUUCAGAGCCAAAUCUGGAUGCUACAGCUUGGCCAACUAGGUCUCAGUGUGGGUGGCAGAUAUUUACUUUUGCCCCAUAAUGUCAACACUUUCCUCCCCAGACAACCCGUAAUAACAUUACUUAGUAUUUUUAUAGCUUCGCAUAAUUUUUCAGUACUCUUUGCAACAAUCCUGGAAGGUAGGCCAGUAUCAUUAUCCACAUAUUAUGGGCCAAGUGAUGGCUACUUAAUUUGUUUGAACCAAGUAUAUGUUAUAUGCUACCUUAACCCUAUAGUUGUCAGGCUUACUGAAGGACAUCAAGUGUCUAGGAAAUUAGAAGAUGUAUGUAGUUGCUUACAGAGCACACAUGCAGAAGCUUUUAUUAGUGCUAAAACAGGAGAAUGUGAGUGGUGUGGGGCAAAGCAAAAGGGAACAGAUCCUCUCUUCCUACUGCAUCAUGCAACCACUUGAUAUGCCACAGGAUCAAAGAGACUGUGUGGUGUGUGUGGUGUGUAUGUGUUGUGAGUGCAGUACAAGCCUGUAAGAACAAGAGCAUAUGUAGUGACCAUUUUCACUAUGAUCACUGUUGCAAUGCAGCAGUGAACAACUUGAAAUGUGGUCCUCAGGCUGAAAAAUUUAGUUACCCCUGAAAUAGAGUACAGUGGUACCUCAGGUUACAGACGCUUCAGGUUACAGACUCCGCUAACCCAGAAAUAGUACCUCGGGUUAAGAACUUUGCUUCAGGAUGAGAACAGAAAUUGUGUGGUGGCGGCGCAGCAGCAGCGGGAGGCCCCAUUAGCUAAAGUGGUGCUUCAGGUUAAGAACAGUUUCAGGUUAAGAACGGACCUCCAGAACGAAUUAAGUUCUUAACCCAAGGUACCACUGUACAUAAAUUGCACAUUGUGUUCUAGAGGCAUCACUUCUGCGGAUUUAUAUAUAUAUAAAAAAUUUAAAACUUGGAUAGGUUGCUUCUGGAUGACCUGUUUAUUCAACAUUUAUCCAGAUCUGCACAAGUUUGCAGAGUGGUUAUAUGACAUUCGCUACCAGUCACUGAUUCUGUUUUGUUUUCAAGGAAAUUAUACGAUGUCAUGUCAAGUAAUUAUGAUGUCAUGUCAAGCAGUUCAUUUUUUUAUCAUUUUCCUCACCACAAAAAGUGAUUUAUUUACUUAUUUUGGAAAUACGCUUGUUGUGAAAUAGCGCCAAAUCCACUUUAAUUAUGCAACUGCAUAUGCUGGUAUGCCACUGAAUCUCCCCAUAACUUAGCAACAGUCUGAAAGCAGCCUCUGUCUCUGGCCAUGUAGGGUGCUUCCAGAUGUGGAUGAUUUAGCAGCACUCAGUUGUUGUUCUGCUUUAAGCUGGAUGCGGAAUAGCAACUCUGCUUCCAGACAUCUAAUGCUUUGUAGCCAAGUGGUACUCCCCUUUUCACCAUCUCCAAAUGUUAGGAGGUGAUUUUCCUUGGUGAGUUGUAUGGUGAGGGUUAAAAGGGCUCCUACCGUCACAUACUCCUUCCCUCACUGCGAAGUAAAGUGGGGGAGAAAAAAAGGAAAUAAAAGAAAUGAUAUUUGAAUUGAUCCUAACACUUUCCUUUCCAAAGAGUGCAGAGAUUGACCAUAGAGAAGGAAAUAGGUAUAACGCAAUCUAGAACAUAGUGGGCAGAGAAAUCUAAUCAUCCAAGAUAGCAGCUUAGGAGGCCAUGCACACCUGGGGAAAUUGUGCAGUUAUUCUGUAGUGUUAAGAAGUGGACAUUCUGGCUUCUGGGAAGGAAACAGAACCUGAACAAAGAAAAUACAAGAGGGGUGUGUUUUGUGAAUGCUCUAUAAAACGUUAAUGGGCUAUUCUAUGGCGUGGAGGCAGUUGUAGGUUGCAUGCAUAGAUUCUAGGAUUCUAAUGGGCAUAUAUUCCCUGUUCUACACAAGGCUCCAUUGUGCAAGGAAGUCCGAGACCUGCGGCAGUCCUAGUUGUGGUAUUACUGUCCAGCUUUACAGCAUGUGCUGGGAUCAAGGUAAUGCAACGUUCUUGGCAGCAGAACUGCUGGAUUGUUCAAGUCCCUUGUGGCCACAGGAUUAGGUAAGCAGCCAAAGAGCAGAAGCUGAUGUAGGUCUGUGUGCUAACUUCUCCCAUCCCCAACUCUCCCUCCUACAAUUGUUUGCUGUCCUUGGGCUGUUUGUGUUGGACUAUGAGCACUGUAAACAACUUUUAAAUAACAACAAUAAAAAUCUGGGGUUUAAGGAGUAAGGAAAGGAAGAGUUUUAAAGCAGCUGUCAAACAUAAGAUGGAAGCAUUCAAUUCUGACACAAUCGUAUUCAUGCAGAGCAAGUGCCCUUCGAAGGGGCUCCUGGUUUUGCUGCUCAGGAUCUUGCUGUAUUCAUGGCUUCAUGUAAUUAGUCCCACAACCUGAUUUUCACACCAGGACACACUUCUGCAACAUGUAAUGCAACAGAAAAUUAGCAAGGUCUUCUAAGCAUGUGCAGAGAGAGGUCCUGACUCCUGCCCAACACACACAGACAGAGGCUUUUACUUGGAAGUAACAAAGAGGUUUUUAUUCGGACAAGUUAUGGUACAGGCUUGGCACCAGACACAGGGCUUAGGAGUCAUGACGCAGGUGUUUGGGAGCAGGGCUUCAGAACUGGAUGGAUGUGACCAAGAUGUCCCAACAAGCUUCUCUGCACCUCCCGCCAAGCUUUUAUAAAUGAGUUAUGACACACUUGCUUGCAAGACUCUCUCGCCUUGUGGGAAUAUCGGGAUUGCAGGCAAGUGUGCUCCAUUGGGACCAGUGGGUCUGCUGCCAUCUGCAGAGGCAGCAUCUGGUUCUAGGUGACAAAACUGGACUGUCCUGUUCAGGCCCCUGUACAGUCACUACCACCACCUGUUCAAAUUCCCCCGAUAUACCAAAGCCCCUCGCCACCUCCACUGCGAGGUUGGAGGAGAGAGCUGCCUUCCCAAAGCUACUGACGCUGGGAUAGGAAGGGAGAGGGAUCCCUCCUUCUCCUCCAACCCAGGCUCCUCCAGUUCAGCUCCAUCCUUUGGUUUUUUUCUCCUCCUCCGUCAGAGCCUGCUACCCCAGGCCUGAUCCGACAGUGCUGUGGGACUCAUGACAAGUGCCUUUCCUCAUCAGGAAAGUUAGUUCCCAUACUGGAAGAAGGAUAUCCAUGGCAUAGGAUGUGAUUUCUGGAUAAAGGUGAUAUUCCAGCACAAUUUAAGCAUUAAUGCACAAUAUAGAUCUGGUACAGAAACAUGUCCCAAAGCCUAAGAAUAGGAGCAUGCUAUUUGUUAUGUAGUGUAGCUGUCUCUUUUUUUUUAGAGUAUAUGUGUCUUACGUUUAUGAUACCUUAGCCCACAUUCCUAAGAUCAUUUAAACAGGGAGUAAGUCCCAUGGGACUGACUUCUGAAUAAACAUGCUUAGGGUACAUGCUCACAUAUACUGUUUUUUUGGAUCUUUUUCUUUCUCAUUGCAUUGUAUUCUGCGUGUGACAACCUCUUCACCAGGAAACAUUCAUUUUUUGUUCUGUCCAUGUAUACAUAUUUGUAAGUUUGUUUAUAAACAUCCCUAUAAAAACAGGGAGAGAAAUGGCAGUAUAUAAAAUAUGUUUUCCAAAAUUAAAAUAUGUUUUAGAGUAGAAAAAUGUCCAUUUUAGGUGCAGGGGACACUAACUUUAUAAAUAAACAUUUAAGAUAAACAUUAAGAUGGCUACCUCGUUGUUCAUAUGCACUUGUGUGUGCACACCCGCUUUGAAACAGGCUCCCACACGGUAAUUUUAAAUAGCACAAAACAAGCAAAUUCUCCAAAUGCUAUUUAUACUGGCAGUGCAGUUGAUGAUGUCAUUGCCGCAGCAAUCACAAAUUUUGUUUUCUCGCAAUAAAUGUGAUGGUUUUUCCCAUUAAUCGUUCAGUACUGGUCGUGUUCUGUGCAAGACUUAACAACCAGCUCAUGUUCUACUUUGGCUGGAGGCUCCCAGGGUCCUGUUCUCAUCACCUCGCUUCACCCUCUGGCAGGCAGCUUCUGCCAAGGCAGGGCCCUCUGGCAGGCUGCCAUAUGAUAGCUAGCAGACAAGCUGGGUACCCGGUUCAGAGCAGGGAUAUUUCAUACGACUGAGAAUGGCUGAUCAGGUGCAGAGGAAAACAGGGCCACACCUCUGUGAGGUCUGGAGCUAGGCUUUGACAAAUCUGUCAGUUUCUGUUUCUCUCACCCUCCCCAUCUUAAGUUCAUUUCACCCC
rnacentral:lncRNA from 1 species